UACGGCCAAAUCAUGUUAAAUACUGGUUCUUAUGCAAUCACCAAAGUUAAGCAAGGUUGAGCCUGGUUAGUACCUAGUGGGGUGAACACUUGGGAACAUCAAAUGCUGUAAG